UUUUUUUUUUUAAAUUUAGCACUUACCCAUGAUUACUACAUUAAGGGUAUCAGAAGACCCUAGGGUAUAUUCAGCUGUCACACCAUUUUAAAGAGGUCUAAUUAGGCACGGCAAACUGAUUCUAGAGUUGCCAGGGCAAAGAAGAAACAUUUCCUUACCCACACAAAUAAGAUCUCAAGCUAAUAGCAUAGGCUCUGCAGAUAACCUGGCCUUUCAUAGGGGGCAGCAGCUAACCAUAUGAUGGGGAGAGAGCUCCGGAUGUGGCUACUUUCACCCAGGACUGUAAGUCAGAGCCUAGCCCCCUCUCAGUGCCCAGAGGUGUUUGAUAAGUACACGAACGAGACAGAUCUACAAAUGAAGUAUAGGUGAAUGCUGUAAAGAAGGGACAAAGAGCUCCUCCCUUCCCAACCAAGCAACUAGUUGAUGCUACGUAGUAGCAGUUCAUGUCAAUACGCCCCAGCUUCAUCAAAUAUGCCUGUGUCUGUGCAAUGUGAGAUUGUUAUCUAGGGAGAUGUUUGGGAUGACAGAAUGGGAGCUUUGGUGUGGUUUUCUUUUCCUGGUAAAAUUGCUAACAAUAUCUGUGAAGGAUUCAUACCUGUGACCACCUUUCCCUUCUAACUAGUCACUCUCCUUUCUUGGCACCUGGGCAGCCCUUGUUUCAAACCUUCCAGGGAGCUGAAGCCUAAAUGAACAUGUAGCACUUUGUCUGAUGUAUGCUCUCUCUGCUAGCCAUGCUCUGACCUCCAACCUACGGAGGUUUCCAUCCCAUCCAUCAGUACCCCUGCCAGUCUCACUGAUGACCCAGCAAAAUAUUUAGCUUUUGUUUAGUGAGUUACUCUGUGUGUGUGUGUGUGUGUGUGUGUGUGUGUAGUUGCCUGGCCAGGAGUAGGCUCUCCAGGAAACACAGGAGUGAACAUGUCAAGGAUGUAUGCCCCAUGCACCUGCAUCACAGUGACUCCAUGGCUGCCUUGCUAUGGGGCCUCCAGAGAGUUUACUCCUCUAUCCUUAUAAGCCUUGUAGGAAGCUUCGUUUCUGUUCUCAUUUUCUGUGGAGAGACCCGAGGCCAGAGGGUUAAGUAAACACACCUCAGGUCACACAGUUGACAGUGGCAGAGCUGACACUUCAGAGGUGUCAGAUAUGGCUCUGCUCUAUGAAGAGAAUGUGCUAAGGAAGAUUCUUGUUCUAAACUGAGGUUGUUGCCCAGGGUCUAACUGAGAUGUGUCACAGGAAGGGGACAAUGGCAUGAAGGAGAUGGCUGAGUUUAUGAUGAUGAAGUCUUUUAAGAAGUCCUGCCCUUACACACACACACACACACACACACACACAC
rnacentral:lncRNA from 1 species